UACGCUUGUUUUUUGAGAAGC
rnacentral:piRNA from 1 species